rnacentral:rRNA from 1 species
CCUACGGGAGGCUGCAGUGGGGAAUAUUGCACAAUGGGCGCAAGCCUGAUGCAGCCAUGCCGCGUGUGUGAAGAAGGCCUUCGGGUUGUAAAGCACUUUCAGCGGGGAGGGAGGCGGUGAGGUUAAUAACCUCAUCGAUUGACGUUACCCGCAGAAGAAGCACCGGCUAACUCCGUGCCAGCAGCCGCGGUAAUACGGAGGGUGCAAGCGUUAAUCGGAAUUACUGGGCGUAAAGCGCACGCAGGCGGUCUGUCAAGUCGGAUGUGAAAUCCCCGGGCUCAACCUGGGAACUGCAUUCGAAACUGGCAGGCUAGAGUCUUGUAGAGGGGGUAGAAUUCCAGGUGUAGCGGUGAAAUGCGUAGAGAUCUGGAGGAAUACCGGUGGCGAAGGCGGCCCCCUGGACAAAGACUGACGCUCAGGUGCGAAAGCGUGGGGAGCAAACAGGAUUAGAUACCCCGGUAGUC